rnacentral:rRNA from 1 species
UGGGGAAUAUUGGACAAUGGGGGCAACCCUGAUCCAGCAAUGCCGCGUGAGUGAUGAAGGCCUUCGGGUUGUAAAGCUCUUUUGGCGGGGACGAUGAUGACGGUACCCGCAGAAUAAGCCCCGGCUAACUUCGUGCCAGCAGCCGCGGUAAUACGAAGGGGGCUAGCGUUGUUCGGAAUUACUGGGCGUAAAGGGCGCGUAGGCGGUCCUGAUCGUCGGAUGUGAAAGGCCUGGGCUCAACCUGGGAACUGCAUCCGAUACGGCGGGACUGGAGUGUGGGAGAGGUUGGUGGAAUUCCCAGUGUAGAGGUGAAAUUCGUAGAUAUUGGGAAGAACACCGGUGGCGAAGGCGGCCAACUGGACCACAACUGACGCUGAGGCGCGAAAGCGUGGGGAGCAAACAG